GCUUAAAGCAGUCGGACACCCUCCCGUCCCCAGCUACAUGACCCUGAGUACCUCAGACCACGCCUCUCUCAACCCUCUCGAGGCAUUUGACAAGGAAAAUGAUAGUUUUGCUUCAACUUGUUUUCUUUUCAGCAGCAUUUGGAGGUGUCCAGUCAGAUGUCCAGCUGAUUGAUUCUGGAGGAGAUGUCAAAAGGCCUGGGGAUUCCCUCCGCCUCUCCUGUCAAGCCUCUGGGUUCACCUUCAGCAGCUAUUGGAUGGAGUGGGUGAGACAGGCUCCUGGAAAAGGCUUGGAAUGGGUGGGAGAGAUAAAACAAGAUUCAUCUACCAUUAACUACUUGGACAAAGUGAAGGGACGAUUCACCCUGUCCAGGGACAAUUCAAACAGCCUCCUGUAUCUGCAAAUGAACAACCUGAAGCCUGAGGACACGGCUGUGUAUUACUGUGCAAGAGACACAGUGAGAGGAAGUGAAUCAUAAGCUGGGCAAAAACCCUUCUUUGGUCCCAGCUGCUAUCUGAGUUGAUCCAGUUGGAAGAGACUGAUGAAAACUGUUAAGUUAAUUGAGA